rnacentral:tRNA from 4 species
GCGGGGGUAGCUCAGUGGUAGAGCGUCUCAUUGCCAAUGAGAAGGUCGCGGGUUCAAGUCCCGUUCCCCGCUCCA